rnacentral:tRNA from 1 species
CUGGGUGUUGCAAACAGUUAAUGCAUUUGGCUGUUAACCAAAAGGUUGAAAUUUCAAAUCCACCUAGA